ACGGGUGAGUAAAGCGUGAGAAUCUGCCCUUCAGUGAGGAAUACCUCCGAGAAAUCGGAGUUAAUACUGCAUACGUCCCUUCGGGGAGAAAGAUGGCCUCUUUGCUGUCGCUGAAGGAUGAGCUUACGUGCUAUUAGCUAGUUGGUGGGGUAAAGGCCUACCAAGGCGAUGAUGGCUAGCCGGCCUGAGAGGGUGUUCGGCCACACUGGAACUUAGAUACGGUCCAGACUCCUACGGGAGGCAGCAGUGAGGAAUCUUGCGCAAUGGGCGAAAGCCUGACGCAGCGACGCCGCGUGGAGGAUGAAGGUCUUCGGAUUGUAAACUUCUGUUAAGUGGGAAGAAAGGCGCGAUUUUAAUAAAAUCGUGAGAUGACGGUACCAUUAGAGAAAGCAACGGCUAACUUCGUGCCAGCAGCCGCGGUAAUACGAAGGUUGCAAGCGUUAUUCGGAUUGAUUGGGCGUAAAGGGUGCGCAGACGGCGUGUUAAGUCGAUCGUUAAAUUUCCUGGCCUAACUAGGAGCAAGCGGUUGAAACUGGCAUGCUAGAGGAUGGAAGAGAGAAGUGGAAUUCUCGGA
rnacentral:rRNA from 1 species